UGAGCAAUCUGCCCUUCUCAUCGGAAUAAGCGUUGGAAACGACGUCUAAUGCCGAAUACGACCUCCUUUCGCAUGAUCGGAGGUGGAAAGCUCCGGCGGAGAAGGAUGAGCUCGCGGCCUAUCAGCUAGUUGGUGCGGGUAAUGGCCCACCAAGGCGACGACGGGUAGCCGGCCUGAGAGGGUGACCGGCCACACUGGGACUGAGACACGGCCCAGACUCCUACGGUAGCAG
rnacentral:rRNA from 1 species